rfam:TPA: Bos taurus chromosome 4, whole genome shotgun sequence.
UCCCUGAUAGCUCAGAUGAUAAAGAAUCUGCCUGCAAUGCAGGAGACCCCAGUUUGAUUCCUGGGUCGGGGAG